rnacentral:misc_RNA from 1 species
UUUCCGUAGGUGAACCUGCGGAAGGAUCAUUCAUAAUAAGUGUUUUAUGGCACUUUUUUAAAUCCAUAUCCACCUUGUGUGCAAUGUCAGGGUUGAUUUUUCUCUCGAGAGGAUCAACCCCAAACAUCAACUGUAUCUCAACUCUUUGUCUGAAAAAUAUUAUGAAUAAAACAAUUCAAAAUACAACUUUCAACAACGGAUCUCUUGGCUCUC